rnacentral:rRNA from 1 species
UACGUAGGGUGCAAGCGUUGUCCGGAAUUAUUGGGCGUAAAGAGCUCGUAGGCGGUGUGUCACGUCGGCCGUGAAAACCUGCAGCUUAACUGUGGGCGUGCGGUCGAUACGGGCAUCACUGGAGUUCGGCAGGGGAGACUGGAAUUCCUGGUGUAGCGGUGAAAUGCGCAGAUAUCAGGAGGAACACCGGUGGCGAAGGCGGGUCUCUGGGCCGAUACUGACGCUGGAGGCGCGAAAGCGUGGGGAGCGAUCCGG